rnacentral:lncRNA from 1 species
AGGAAUCAAGUCCAUGGAGAUCGACGCCGAGAAGUGCACGCUGACGGUGGUCGGGACGGUCGACCCGGUGCGCAUGGUGCAGAGGCUCAAGAAGAAGUGCUUCGAGGCGACCAUCGUGAGCGUGGAGGACGACAAGCCCAAGGAGAAGAAGGACCCCUGCAAGGAGGCGUGCGAGAAGCUGUGCAAGGAGAAGUGCGACAAGAUCACCUGCUGCAAGGAGUGCAAGGACAAGUGCGAGAAGGAGUGCAAGGACAAGUGCGAGAAGGCCUGCGAGGCGUGGCUCGGCAAGGGGUGCUGCUCCUGCAGCCGCUGCAAGCCCAGCCCGGCCGGCUGCUACUACGACCCCUGCGCCGUGCGUAGCUACCCCUACGGCUACUACUACAACGGGUACCCCUACUACGGCUGCUACGAAGAGAGGUCACAUGAAGGAGCGUGUACCAUCCAGUAGUGUUUUGUUCAGCAUGCAACUACUGCAUGCCAAAUGUGCGUGGAGUUGUCUUCCUACGGCACGUUUGUAUGGUUAUAAGGAUCUCACCCUGUAUCUUUAGUUUGUGUUAAUUGUUUUUUUUUCAUUGUACUCGUACUAUAUAUAUGCAAAGAUGCUUGAGAUUUUGGAUGGUUUUCUCUCACUAAACGAAAGAUUUUAGAAAAGAAAAUUUUAUUCUGGCCUCUGCAAGACUGUUGUACCCAACCGUGUUGUUGUGGCUUUGUUAGUAUAUCUACCUGUAGUGUGUCCUCUUUUUAUCUCUAAGGGUCUAUUUGGAUCUCAUGAAUUGAAACCAAUAUCUAGACUAGAGUCUAUUUUAUUAUUAGAUUAUUUUCAAAUUCCUCAUAAUUUGGGAACCAAACAAGGCCUAAAGAUAAUGGAUCACCAAAUUUGGUUCUGAUCCAUAACUGGUGUAGGAAGAUGAAUUGUACCGGUCGCGGAGAAUGGCUCAAACAUGCAUGUUAGCCAACGUUUCUUAUUUACUACUGGUUAAUUUAAAAAAUUGCUGACUUUAUUAUCACGAAGAGAUGUAGCAAAAGACGAUAACACCACAAAUGCAUACAACGAACAUAUGGUGGAUAUGUGCCCCUGUGUGAGUGAUAAGGCCAGUCUCAGUGGGGGUUUCACCAGGAUGUCAUGCAUAUUUAUUAGGGCGUCAUGUCAGCAAAACUGCACUUUUUGCAUGAAACGAAGAGGAGAGAGAAGGAAGUAGUUUCACCAUGGUGAAACUCCGCUGGCGUUGUUUCCCACGCGGUGAAAUAGGAUGAAAUCCCCACUGAGGACUAAAAUCGUUUCACCAUCUUGCAUGUGAUCCAAUCAUUUUGCAGUAAUUAAAUGCUUUGCCCAGCCUAGAAAACAUCAAGAUGAAACUCAUGCAUUGUGGAGGUUGUUUCAUUGUUCGUUUCAUUGAUGCUCUGUCAGCAGAUUUAUUUUGGAAACGGUGCAUUGAAAUGGGCCAUUAAGACUGGCCUAAGUGGUUGUCAAGUGAGAUCGAAGCUUUAGUUAAGUGCACAUGAGACUAAUCAUGGUGUGAGCUAUAUGUGCAAUAUGUCUUUUUGCUUGUGAUGUGCAGGUGUUGAGUGUUGAGAUAGUCGACGAUAAUAGAAAAGGUCAAGCAAGAGUCCAUGCGCACUAGGACCGAUGAAGGGUGGACGUGAAGGCUUGGCCAGAGAACUAAGGGUCAUAGGAUGAACCAUGGAUGACUAGCACUUGGACAUGUUGACAAGCAAGCUAUUGUGCAUGUGAGAAUGGUGAUGAAGACGGUAUCGACCGAAGUCAAGAUGGCAGUUGGACCAAGUCGACAUGGAUGCACGACCACUUGGAGAUCCGACGGUCAAGCACAAGCGAGACACGCAUCGACAUCAUGGACAAGGCGUAUCGCGAUCCAAGGGUUUGGCGGUUUGGGCCUCAAAACCGCUGGCGGUAGGGUUUGCUUUGGAACUCAAAACCUCGGGGGAGGAUCUUAGAGUGGCUCAUGGUGUCAUUGGAAAGUUUGCGUUGAGGCAAAGUGACUUCAUGAAGACAUGAAGGGCUCGUGGCCGCCGAUGCAUGGAAUCCAUGUUUUACCAUUUUGCCCCCGCGGCUAAGUGGUUCAUGGCAAAUACUUAGGGAUAGUGUUGGAAUAUGUAAUAGCCUUAAAAAUAAGAAUAGUGGCUGCCCAAAACAGCCAUCUCGCCCACCUAAGUUCAUUUCCUUAGGCUAAGCCAAGUAUAUCUUCCUUAGAGAAGAUUAGAAGUAGAGAGUGUGAGAUAUCUUGCUCUAGAUUUCCACUUUCUAGAGGAGGAUGAAGAGAGGAGUCUAGACUUAAUCUUAUAAAGAUUUUUUAUUGAUGAAUCAAUCAAGUUGUCUUCUAAAAUUUUGAGUUCAUCUUUUUAAUAUAUUUUUCUCCUAUUUCGGUUGAUUUUUGUGAUCCUUGUCGAAGUUCUUUGAUCUAAGGUUUUGGAGACAAUUCUGAGUUGAUCUUCUGGUGCUUUGACCCCCUGAGAACACAUCUAGCCACUGGUUCAAUCAGUUUUAGCAUGACCACCAAGAAAUCAACUUUGUUUGAAACUGAAGAAACCCCAUUUUAGAGAGCUUCUUUUCAGAUGUGAUACCAAAGCUCUUUUGGAGUUGAAACUUUGCAAUGAUAUUUACUUUCUCAUAGAGAAGGUGUGUGCAAAAUUUCAAAUCAAUUGGACUUUGUUUGAUCGAGUUUUGCAUUUUUCUUCCUUGGCUUGGGCCGUAGAAACUGUAGUACCUACUUGACCAUGUUGUAGAACCGGUAUAGCCAGAUUUGACCAAUGACAAAAAUCAUAACAUCAACUAAAUGGGUGGAACCUGAAACUGCUUUUUCAAAACCUGUUGCUUUCGCAUAGAACAAUUUUUGAAGCAUCUUGGACCUUUCUUUUUGCUUUUGACUUUUUGUUUUUUCAAAUGGGUGAAAUAGAGAAAUGUUUCAUAAUCAUGUCGAUACAAAUAGAGGUGGUUUCAUAGUUGUUUCAACCAAACAAUUUGUAACUUUUUCACACCAUAUAGCUCGUAGCAACUUUUACACAGCUCACAUUAGCUUUUUCAUAGCUUAGAGCAUCUCCAACAGUUAGCUAUCCUACCCUGUUUAGACAAAAUUAGAGAAAAUUAGGCUCCAAUAGCCUCGCUAAAUAUGAGUAUGGUUUUCUUCUAGUCUUGGGUAUUCAGCACAGGAUAUAUCACAAGACAUAUCACGUGACUCUUUCUUUCUUUCUUAAGUUUCUAUGUGAAACCAAUCAAAAAUUUAUUUGUGUUCUCUGUGACUCUUUAUUUUAAAGAUAAGAUCCAAAUAACUCCUAAUAGAACACCAACAUAUAGAUAACUUUUUUUUUUGAAGGGACUGUUUGGCUUGUGGCCAAAUUUUGCCAUGCCAAAGAUUUGGCAAGUAUAAAUUGUGCAAAAAACAAUUCAUACAUUUGGCAAAUGUGAGAAGUUGGUAAGUUUUGUAGCAAAUGACAGCCAAAAUCAUGGUUUACCAAAUCUUUGGCUUGCCAUAUUUCAGAAGCCAAUCAAGCAGGCCCUUAGUACUAAUUUCAUAUUUUUCCACUGAAAUAAAUAGUUAUGAUUUUUUUAAGAUUAAACCAGAUUUUAUUAUUUUGAAAAUAUAAAACCGCCGUUGAAACCACACCAAAUUAGCCCAGUUUCAACAAUUUGAAGUGCGUCUGGUACCCGAUGUUGUAGUUCAAGGGGUUGAAAAUCAAACUGCUCUACUAGUUAGAGGUUGAAAAUAGACUCACUCAAGUUUCUACGUGGAAACCAUUUCAUGUACCUCCUGAUACUGUGCAAUAGGAAUAGUUUAAGCAUCAAAGACCACCAACUGCAAACAGUCUACAACAUCAAUGAGUUGCGGGUGACAGUGGUCUUCAAUCAAUCGAAAUAAAAUACCAGCCUCCAAAGUAAAUAGCAACAUAACUGCUCUAUACAGGUAAGUUUUUUUCCUUGUACUAUACAGUUAAGGAAUUCUUAUGUCAUGCUCUUGCUUUGGCUCACCCAACAACCUAACCUACAAACAAAUACUCUCAAACGAAGACGGGAAGAACGAAAAAGGAUCGGAAGUUAUUGGGCCAAAUGUCUCUUCACAUUGACCGAACAGCCCAAUACGCUCUGGUGUAUGCACUGGCGGAGCCACCGCCUAGCCACCCUGGGGUGCCGGCCGGGCUCCUCACCAAAAUUUAAAAGAAAAGUUUCUUUAUAUUCAUAUAAAAUUCUGUAAUUUAUAGUUAAUUAUUUUUGCUUAAUAAGAAUUGUCUGGACUCCUAAAAGCUUUUGGCUUUGCCAAUGGGUGCAUGUAACUAUGUAAGCCUUUGACUAUAUGUGUGUGAGCGAGCGAGCGAAUUGAGAGACGAGAAAGAAAGAAAAGUUUGCACUUCAGAUUGGUGCAUCAUGCGCAAGUGCAACCUACAUCAAAGUAUGAAACGUGUCAGAGGUGCAAACGGUGUCGGAUUGGUGACAAACCUGGUGAAGUGAUUAUGCACUGAUAGCUCUACGAGACUACGAUUUGCAUGGUUCGUUUGAGAAUUUGGUUAUUGGAGUAUUCAAUAGGAGCUUUUAUCUGGUAAGGUCCAAUUUAGCUGAAAAUUGGUCAGGAGUGACAGUCUCAUUAGCUGAAGAGAAGCGUGGCAUAAAUGCCAUGGAACACCACUCGGAUGUUCGGACUCGGAGAGGGGGAUGAGGAUUCAUGUUGUCUAACGACAAUAUCAACCUAGACAUGCCAUAUAGAUACUCCUAUUCUAUAUUCUAAGUUACAAGUCGUUUUGAUUUUUUUCAUGAAACAUUUAUUUUACUAUGUAUCUAGAUAUAAGAGAUAAAUAGCAACAUAUACUACUUAAAACUACUAUCCUCAACAUAUGUAGAGCAUUUUUUACAAAUUGAUCCUAGAUUAGUUGGUUGGGUUUAUUGUAGUGGAAACUACCUUGGGUUCUAAGUCCUCAACUUAACAUGGAUGCUCGUAUUUUCCUUUUUUUCAGAAUUUAAUGGUACUAUGUUUUUAACGCUAUGCAACGUCCCAUCGACAAUGAGAUGCCUGUGAUGACUUUGUGAAUGUUGACAUAUGUCGGCUCAGUCCUUCGAAUGUGCUUAUGGGAGUAGCGUUUGCGUACAUGUGUUUAUAGAGAUAAGUGUGUACGUAUUUGUGGGUGUUUAUGUGGUGUAUGUUGUAAUUUAAAAAAAAUAGAGUACUUUCUUUUUUUUUGUUACGACGACAGCUGCGAACACUGAGCGGUGAGCGCGUGCGGCCGUGCGCUCUAUUACUCUGGUAGCAAGAAUACGCCUACCAUGUUCAAAGCAACCGGGCCUGUAAACUUCCGCUUUUUUCGCCUUUGUACCAACAAGUCCUUCGAGUAAACAGUAAAGCGAGACCAAGUGAACAGACAGAGAUUUUAAUUUGUUCCAAAUGUUCCCAAGUAUUCUGCUAGGGAAGGACGUGUUGCCAUCAACCAUCAUGACUUCAUGAGUGUCACCUACCUCAGACCUAAGAGACAAUCAUAUAUACUCACAACCAGAUUUUUCAAUUUCUCCUAGUGAUGUAGGGUUCUCCUAGUGUUUUAGCAUUCAAAAUUUAGUAUAAACUUUCCCUAGUAAAUGUCUCCUAGUUAGGAUUCCCUAGUGUUUUGACUAGUGGUAAUGUUUUAUUACUAACUAAAAACACUAGGAGAACUCUACCAAAAUGGUAGUGACUAGCUCAUGCCGACUUCGCGAUGUAUUUUAUAGUAAACGUUUGCUCGGGUUUUGGACGAACUCAAACUAAUAAAACAAACUUGUGGGCACUGGGCAGGUAUAUCCUCGAGAAAAUUAAAAGAAACCAACAGCCCAGUUACGUUGAUAAGCCAACCAUAUAUAAUUAAGCAGUGCAGGUGAGCUAAGCAAUAUAUAUAUUCUCCGGACCAGCCAAAUGGCCUAAGCAGUGCAGGUGAGAUAAUCAGUGGUCUUGUCGAUCGAGUUGACUUCCAGAGCUGCAUGCCACCAAUAUAUGGAGCGCAUAGAAUUGAGCAGUGAUUAUGCACAGGGAGUUCAGUUCCAGCAGCAGCAUAGCAGCAGAACCUCUUAUUAUCAGGACAAGCAAAUUAAAUCUAUCCAAGGGUGUCAUUGCCAUCACUCAUCAGCUCACCAAUGUCUAAUAAGGUUAAUUUGUGUGGCCACGUUUGCCUCUCCCGACGAUGUUGAUUCUGAAUUUCUGAUCACUGAACCAUUUGUGCUGUCCAUUACUUGCAUCUUGCAGAAGAUAGUGGUCAAAGCUGACCUCGUCGGCAAGACAUGCAUGAGGGAUAUCCUGUCAGUUGCUGCGACGCUCCAAGGUACUACCACCCAUCCAUCUAUCUGUCUACCAAUUAAGCAAUGCAAUGUACCAUCAUGCAGAUGCAUGCCUUUCCAAGUUCCAACAGAUUUAAAACUAGCCUUGCACUGAAUGUCUGCUGCAGGGAUCAAGUCGAUGGACGUUGACGCCGAGAAGUGCACGCUGACGGUGGUCGGCACCGUCGACCCGGUGCGCAUCGCGCAGAAGCUCAAGAAGAAGUGCUUCUCCGUGAACAUCAUCAGCGUCGAAGACGACAAGCCCAAGCCCAAGCCCCCGGAACCGGAGAAGAAGAAGCCGCAGGACCCCUGCAAGGACGUGUGCGAGAACAAGUGCGACAAGAUCACCUGCUGCAAGGAGUGCAAGGAC